UACGGAGGGAGCUAGCGUUGUUCGGAAUUACUGGGCGUAAAGCGUGCGCAGGCGGCUAUGCAAGACAGAUGUGAAAUCCCCGGGCUCAACCUGGGAACUGCAUUUGUGACUGCAUGGCUAGAGUACGGUAGAGGGGGAUGGAAUUCCGCGUGUAGCAGUGAAAUGCGUAGAUAUGCGGAGGAACACCGAUGGCGAAGGCAAUCCCCUGGACCUGUACUGACGCUCAUGCACGAAAGCGUGGGGAGCAAACAGG
rnacentral:rRNA from 1 species